rnacentral:rRNA from 1 species
AUACGUAGGUGGCGAGCGUUGUCCGGAAUUACUGGGCGUAAAGGGCGUGUAGGCGGGGGGACAAGUCAGAUGUGAAAUACCGCAGCUUAACUGCGGGGCUGCAUCUGAAACUGUUCUUCUUGAGUGUCGGAGAGGAAAGUGGAAUUCCCAGUGUAGCGGUGAAAUGCGUAGAGAUUGGGAGGAACACCAGUGGCGAAGGCGGCUUUCUGGACGACAACUGACGCUGAGGCGCGAAAGCGUGGGGAGCAAACAGGAUUAGAUACCCUGGUAGUCCACGCUGUAAACGAUGGAUACUAGGUGUAGGAGGUAUCGACCCCUUCUGUGCCGGAGUUAACACAAUAAGUAUCCCGCCUGGGGAGUACGGCCGCAAGGUUGAA